rnacentral:rRNA from 1 species
UACGUAGGGUGCAAGCGUUUAAUCGGAAUUACUGGGCGUAAAGCGUGCGCAGGCGGUUUUGUAAGUCUGUCGUGAAAGCCCCGGGCUCAACCUGGGAAUUGCGAUGGAGACUGCAAGGCUUGAAUCUGGCAGAGGGGGGUAGAAUUCCACGUGUAGCAGUGAAAUGCGUAGAGAUGAUGGAGGAACACCGAUGGCGAAGGCAGCCCCCUGGGUCAAGAUUGACGCUCGAUGCACGAAAGCGUGGGGAGCAAACAGG